rnacentral:rRNA from 1 species
GGCAGGUCAGCAUACUGCCGUGAAUACGUUCCCGGGCCUUGUACACACCGCCCGUCACACCAUGAGAGUUGGGAAUACCCGAAGCCUGUGAGCUAACGUUAAGAGGCAGCAGUCGAAGGUAGAAUCAAUGAUUGGGGUGAAGUCGUAACAAGGUAUC